ensembl:lncRNA
GGAAGCUGGGCAUCCCCCAUUUGGGCCAGGAAUGGACAGCGCCAGAGGACAGGUGAGGGUGUUCACAACACCCUGACACCCUAACAUCCACCAGGCUGUCACCAUCUGUCCCGUUGCUGAGAAAAAGGGAAGCUAGGGAGAUGCUGGCUUUCUUUGCUUUUUCUCCCUUCCCCUCUGGCCUGAUACCGCUCUCCCUUCUCCCCCUUUCCUCUGCUUUCUCCCCAUGCUCCAGAAAGCAGAGAGAAGCGUGCCCAGUGGAGAUCUCCCCACUGUGGGGACCCCAAGCAGGAGGGUCAGGAAGCCUCCCUGAGAACAGUGGUAUCUAUCUUCCUUAUGCACUUUGGCAGAAUGGAGUAGGGAAAUGGAGACAGCAUUUUUCCUUAUCUGAGAACGGACGGUUCCCCAGCUGUGGAGAGGUCAGACAGCAGGACCCCACCCC